GACGAACGCUGGCGGCAUGCCUAAUACAUGCAAGUCGAACGCUGAAGCACUCUGCUUGCAGAGUGCGGAUGAGCGGCGAACGGGUGAGUAACACGUGGGAAAUCUGCCUAUAAGAGGGGGAUAACAUUCGGAAACGGAUGCUAAUACCGCAUAUAUUCUUGGACCGCCUGGUCCUUGAAAGAAAGACGGCUUUGCUGUCGCUUAUAGAUGAUCCCGCGGCGCAUUAGUUAGUUGGUGAGGUAAAGGCCUACCAAGACAAGGAUACGUAGCCGACCUGAGAGGGUGAUCGGCCACACUGGGACUGAGACACGGCCCAGACUCCUACGGGAGGCAGCAGUAGGGAAUCUUCCACAAUGGGCGAAAGCCUGAUGGAGCAAUGCCGCGUGAAUGAAGAAGGUCUUCGGAUCGUAAAGUUCUGUUAUUAGGGAAGAACAAAUCAAGGAGUAACUGUCUUGACUUUGACGGUACCUAACCAGAAAGUCACGGCUAACUACGUG
rnacentral:rRNA from 1 species